rnacentral:rRNA from 1 species
AACGAACGCUGGCGGCAGGCCUAACACAUGCAAGUCGAGCGAGGACUUCGGUCCUAGCGGCGGACGGGUGAGUAACGCGUGGGAACGUGCCCUUUGCUUCGGAAUAGCCCUGGGAAACUGGGAGUAAUACCGGAUGAGCCCUUUGGGGGAAAGAUUUAUCGGCGAAGGAUCGGCCCGCGUUGGAUUAGGUAGUUGGUGGGGUAAUGGCCUACCAAGCCGACGAUCCAUAGCUGGUUUGAGAGGAUGAUCAGCCACACUGGGACUGAGACACGGCCCAGACUCCUACGGGAGGCAGCAGUGGGGAAUCUUAGACAAUGGGGGAAACCCUGAUCUAGCCAUGCCGCGUGAGCGAUGAAGGCCUUAGGGUUGUAAAGCUCUUUCAGCUGGGAAGAUAAUGACGGUACCAGCAGAAGAAGCCCCGGCUAACUCUGUG